CGUCAUUCCAGCGUCUCGAUAGGCAACCCACCAAAUACCUCUUUCUUCUAGCGUAACAAAAAAGAAGGUGACAUAUUUUUUAUUUCUCUGCCAUUUAAUUUUUUACACUUGACGUCCGGCCAACGGUCUUGUACGACUUCGGUUGUUUGGCCAUUUUUUUCGUUCGAGAGUUUUGUUAUAAAUUUCAACAUUUGAAAAUUGUGUGGGUUGGUCGUCAAUAGUGAAGGGAAAUGUAGUUUUCCAAUCCGGAAUGUUUCCAAUUUCAAAAUAGUGUGGGUUGUUAUCAAUUUCAAAAUUUGAAAAUUCGAGAGUUUUGUUAGUCUUCUGGAUUUCUAAAGUGAUGAAAGCAAGAUUGUAUUACACAAUAGUCUUUAGCUACAGUUUGCAUCUUUUUCUUGCUUAAUUGCCAGGAGCAAUAGUGAAAGGAAAUGUAGUUUUCCAAUCUGCCCAUCAGAUGUUUGAUGAAAUGCCCGAGUAGAAAAUUUCCUGUAACUUCAAAUGCUGAAUUCAACUAAAACAUAUGAGAUAUCCACAAAAAGGCAGAUCAAGGUUGAUUGUGGUCAUGCUUCUUAAUGUCUUAAUUGGGUUAAUAUUCUUAGCCAACGUUUUGAACUUAAACUAGUGGCACUGCAAUUUUGGUUUCAAGCAUUUGUUUAAUUGGAAUCCUUCCACUGAAAUUAAGAUGGAAUUUCGUUGACAUGGUCAAACCUUUUAGAUCUUCUUAUUGCAAUGAAAAUGCUACUUGAUUCUGAUUACAAUGAAAAUGUUUUAAUCGGGUUAAUAUUCUUAUUAAAAAUCUAAAUUUUUGCCACGUUGAUGUGAUUCUUUCACGUUGUUCAACUAGAUUGGUUCGAUGGCAAGCAAAAAUAGGGGAAUUUGUCAUUGUUGUAGAUAGGCAAGACAUAUGUUGCCAGAGUGGCCCCAAAAAAAAAAAAAAAAAAGGAUGCCCAAACUGUGGUGCAGGCUUUAUCAAAUGGAUGGAGGUGGAAAAGAACAAUGAACAUAAAGGGUUGUUGUUUCAUUGUAGUACCUGCGAUUGCAAGUAUUUCAAAUGGUGUAAGAAAUCUGUGGACGAAAAAUGUGAAUUGUAUGACGACAGUGAAUCAAGUGGCACUGUAAACGGAGGUGAGCCUGUUGCGGAGUUGUCGCAUAUGUUGAAAAUGCUUGCUAAGCUGACAGAGGAAAAAGACUUGGAGAUUUCCCUCAACAUCAACAUGCAUAUGGGAAAAUGAGAUUCUAAAGAUUUUAUCUAAACUUAGAUGUAAUUCUACUCCGUGCAAUGUGAUAUUGUGGAUGUAAUGAAGUCGUUGAGUCUUAUGGUUUCGUUCGUGUACAUAUUUAUUCGUAUCUAGUGUCUUUGUUGGCUACCGUGGGUUUUAUGAAUCUGCUUCCCUUGUGCAAGGCAAGUAGAAUUGUGCUCAAAUAUUAGGUCCAUUUAAAAAUCGUGAAUUAGAUUGGUUGCGAUGUGGGUUAUGUUUUUGUGGUGAAAUAUUGUUGUGUACCAACUAUUUUUUCCCAAUUUUCGCCAUCGAAAACAUUAUGCAUAUCAUUUAUUGUGCUUACUAUUAA
rnacentral:lncRNA from 1 species